rnacentral:rRNA from 1 species
AGUUUGAUCCUGGCUCAGAACGAACGCUGGCGGCAGGCUUAACACAUGCAAGUCGAGCGCCCCGCAAGGGGAGCGGCAGACGGGUGAGUAACGCGUGGGAAUYUACCCUUGACUACGGAAUAACGCAGGGAAACUUGUGCUAAUACCGUAUGUGUCCUUCGGGAGAAAGAUUUAUCGGUCAAGGAUGAGCCCGCGUUGGAUUAGCUAGUUGGUGGGGUAAAGGCCUACCAAGGCGACGAUCCAUAGCUGGUCUGAGAGGAUGAUCAGCCACAUUGGGACUGAGACACGGCCCAAACUCCUACGGGAGGMAGCAGUGGGGAAUAUUGGACAAKGGGSGCAAGCCUGAUCCARCCAUGCCGCGUGAGUGAUGAAGGCCCUAGGG